UGGGGAAUAUUGGACAAUGGGCGCAAGCCUGAUCCAGCCAUGCCGUGUGAGUGAUGAAGGCCCUAGGGUUGUAAAGCUCUUUUGUGCGGGAAGAUAAUGACGGUACCGCAAGAAUAAGCCCCGGCUAACUUCGUGCCAGCAGCCGCGGUAAUACGAAGGGGGCUAGCGUUGCUCGGAAUCACUGGGCGUGAAGCGCGUGCAGGCGGUCUCUUAAGUCUGGUGUGAAAGCCCGGGGCUCACCCCCGGAAGGGCACUGGAGACUGGGAGGCUAGAGUACCGGAGAGGAAGGUGGAAUUCCUGGUGUAGCGGUGAAAUGCGUAGAUAUCAGGAGGAACACCGGCGGUGUAGACGGCUUGCUAGACCAUAACUGACGCUGAGGCACGAAAGCGUGGGUAGCAAACA
rnacentral:rRNA from 1 species